UCCGGUAUAGUGUAACGGUCUAAACAUACCCCGCUUUCACCGGGGAGCUCGGGGUUCGACUCCCCGUACCGGAG